rnacentral:rRNA from 1 species
UACGUAGGCAGCGGAGCGUUGUUCGGAGUUACUGGGCGUAAAGGGUGUGUAGGCGGGAAUGUAAGUCAGAUGUGAAAUCCCAGGGCUUAACCCUGGAGCUGCAUCUGAAACUAUGCUUCUUGAGUGCCGGAGAGGGUAGCGGAAAUUCCUAGUGUAGCGGUGAAAUGCGUAGAUAUUAGGAGGAACACCAGUGGCGAAGGCGGCUAUCUGGACGGUAACUGACGCUGAGGCGGCGAAAGCGUGGGGAGCAAACAGG